CAAAUCAGGUAGGACUACCCGCUGAACUUAAGCAUAUCAAUAAGCGGAGGAAAAGAAACUAACAAGGAUUCCCCUAGUAACUGCGAGUGAAGCGGGAAAAGCUCAAAUUUAAAAUCUGGCAGUCUUUGGCCGUCCGAGUUGUAGUCUGGAGAAGUGCUUUCCGCGCUGGACCGUGUAUAAGUCUCUUGGAACAGAGCGUCGUAGAGGGUGAGAAUCCCGUCUUUGACACGGACUACCAGUGCUUUGUGAUGCGCUCUCAAAGAGUCGAGUUGUUUGGGAAUGCAGCUCAAAAUGGGUGGUAAAUUCCAUCUAAAGCUAAAUAUUGGCGAGAGACCGAUAGCGAACAAGUACCGUGAGGGAAAGAUGAAAAGCACUUUGGAAAGAGAGUUAAACAGUACGUGAAAUUGCUGAAAGGGAAACACUUGAAGUCAGUCGCGUUGGCCGGAACUCAGCCUUGCUUUCGCUUGGUGCACUUUCCGGUUGACGGGCCAGCAUCGAUUUCGACCGGCGGAAAAGGGUUGGAGAAAUGUGGCACCCUCGGGUGUGUUAUAGUCUCUAGUCGCAUACGUCGGUUGGGAUCGAGGAUCGCAGCGCGCCGCAAGGCAGGGGUUCGCCCACUUUCGCGCUUAGGAUGCUGGCAUAAUGGCUUUAAAUGACCCGUCUUGAAACACGGACCAAGGAGUCUAACAUGCCUGCGAGUGUUUGGGUGGAAAACCCGAGCGCGUAAUGAAAGUGAAAGUUGAGACCUCUGUCGUGGAGGGCAUCGACGCCCGGACCUGACGUUCUCUGACGGAUCCGCGGUAGAGCAUGUAUGUUGGGACCCGAAAGAUGGUGAACUAUGCCUGAAUAGGGUGAAGCCAGAGGAAACUCUGGUGGAGGCUCGUAGCGAUUCUGACGUGCAAAUCGAUCGUCAAAUUUGGGUAUAGGGGCGAAAGACUAAUCGAACCAUCUAGUAGCUGGUUCC
rnacentral:rRNA from 1 species